rnacentral:rRNA from 1 species
UCCUACGGGAGGCAGCAGUGGGGAAUAUUGCACAAUGGGCGCAAGCCUGAUGCAGCGACGCCGCGUGAGGGAUGACGGCCUUCGGGUUGUAAACCUCUUUCAGUAGGGAAGAAGCCUUCGGGUGACGGUACCUGCAGAAGAAGCGCCGGCUAACUACGUGCCAGCAGCCGCGGUAAUACGUAGGGCGCAAGCGUUGUCCGGAAUUAUUGGGCGUAAAGAGCUCGUAGGCGGAUUGUCGCGUCUGCUGUGAAAACGCGAGGCUUAACCUCGCGCCUGCAGUGGGUACGGGCAGACUAGAGUGCGGUAGGGGAGACUGGAAGUCCUGGUGUAGCGGUGGAAUGCGCAGAUAUCAGGAGGAACACCGAUGGCGAAGGCAGGUCUCUGGGCCGUUACUGACGCUGAGGAGCGAAAGCAUGGGGAGCGAACAGGAUUAGAUACCCUGGUAGUCCAUGCCGUAAACGUUGGGCACUAGGUGUGGGGACCGUUUCCACGGUUUCCGCGCCGCAGCUAACGCAUUAAGUGCCCCGCCUGGGGAGUACGGCCGCAAGGCUAAAACUCAAAGGAAUUGACGGA